GUUGCGUUUCUCUUUCUUAUACUCAGUCAUACACACCAAUCUUGUCAUAUUGGACUCCAAAAACCCUACACAAGCUUAUUAUGGCUUCCCCAAGUUUUGUAAGGGAGGACGAAGUCCCUAUGAGUGUUCUUGUAUUCCAUCUACGCUACUUUAGCAAUCAGGAUCCGGGUUGCAUUUCUCUUUCUUAUACUCAGUCAUACACACCAAUCUUGUCAUAUUGGACUUCAAGAACCCUACACAAGCUUAUUAUGGCUUCCCCAAGUUUUGUAAGGGAGGACGAAGUCCCUAUGAGUUUUUUUGUAUUCCAUCUACACUACUUUAUCAAUCAGGAUCCGGGUUGCAUUUCUCUUUCUUAUACUCAGUCAUACGCACCAAUCUUAUCAUAUUGGACUCCAAGAACACUAUAGAAGCUUUUUAUGGCUUCCCCAAGUUUUGUAUGGGAGGACGAAGUCCCUAUGCGUGUUUUUGUAUUCCAUCU
rnacentral:lncRNA from 1 species